rnacentral:rRNA from 1 species
GAGUUUGAUUAUGGCUCAGGAGGAACGCUGGCGGCGUGCCUAACACAUGCAAGUCGAGCGAGAAAUAGUCAGACGGAGAUUUCGGUUGAAGGAUGGUUAUGGAAAGCGGCGGACGGGUGAGUAACGCGUAGGCAACCUGCCUCAUGCAGAGGGAUAGCCUCGGGAAACCGGGAUUAAAACCUCAUAAGGCCAAGGGGACACAUGUUUUCGUGGUCAAAGAUUUAUCGGCAUGAGAUGGGCCUGCGUCUGAUUAGCUGGUUGGUGAGGUAACGGCUCACCAAGGCGACGAUCAGUAGCCGACCUGAGAGGGUAAACGGCCACAUUGGAACUGAGACACGGUCCAAACUCCUACGGGAGGCAGCAGUGGGGAAUAUUGCACAAUGGGCGAAAGCCUGAUGCAGCAACGCCGCGUGAGCGAAGAAGGCCUUUGGGUCGUAAAGCUCUGUCGAUAGGGAAGAAAAAAGGUGACG